rnacentral:rRNA from 1 species
AGUGAACGCUGGCGGUAGGCCUAACACAUGCAAGUCGAACGGCAGCACAGUAAGAGCUUGCUCUUACGGGUGGCGAGUGGCGGACGGGUGAGGAAUACAUCGGAAUCUACUUUUUCGUGGGGGGUAACGUAGGGAAACUUACGCUAAUACCGCAUACGACCUACGGGUGAAAGCAGGGGAUCUUCGGACCUUGCGCGAUUGAAUGAGCCGAUGUCGGAUUAGCUAGUUGGCGGGGUAAAGGCCCACCAAGGCGACGAUCCGUAGCUGGUCUGAGAGGAUGGUCAGCCACACUGGACCUGAGACGCGGUCCAGACUCCUGCGGGAGGCAGCAGUGGGGAAUAUUGGACAAUGGGCGCAAGCCUGAUCCAGCCAUACCGCGUGGGUGAAGAAGGCCUUCGGGUUGUAAAGCCCUUUUGUUGGGAAAGAAAAGCAGCAGGUUAAUACCCCGCUGUUCUGACGGUACCCAAAGAAUAAGCACCGGCUAACUUCGUG